ACAAAAGCAAAUCAGAAGAUGUUGGUUGUGAUGGGUGAGUUCCUUCUGCUUUUGCCUUAGCAGAAAACCUUCUGCAUCUCUUCUGAGAGAGAGAUUGCUUUUCCCAGACGCUCCAACCUUGAGAGCUGUAGAGAGCUUAACCAUGAAGGCCGCUUUGCUCCUUGGUGUCAUUCUCUUGAUGAGCCUGGUUAUGGCUAAUGAUCAAAGUAAAUCUGAAGAAAAGACUGAAUCUGGAGCUAAAGUUGAAUCGCAAAACAGGACAGGUAUUCUUACUAAGUCUACUGGCAUAAUGGUGUCUGAGAGCCCAGUCUUCUUUUUGUUGCCACUGAUGUGGAUGGUGAUCCAUCUUCUUCAUAUUUAAUGAACCUGAAGCUUCACUUUUCAGGAGAACAUGAAGGUCCAUCAGUCCUACCCAAGUUUAAGAAAGGGAGCUCCUUUCCAUUCCUAACAGCUUAAUAGUCCAGCCGGCUUCCUGCUCUUGCUGCAAUAUUAGUCCAACAUGUUGGACUAUCCAUGAUUUCACUGCAUCGGCCAACUAAACAGGGAAAUGAAAAGAAAGCCAGGGAAAUAUCUGAUGUCAAUCCUCAAGUGCAUGCAUUUGUUUGCAAUAUGACUGUCACUGUUCAGAGGAAAUCUGGCAUAAGAGGAGUUAUGAAAUAUCUCAGACGCCUCUUCUGCUCCUGAGAGAGAUAAUCCAGAUCAUACUUUCCUUACAAUAUCCUUUUGCAGAGCUGUCUAAAGAUGGACAUUAGCCACAGAUGCCUGUAAUCAUGUCUCAUCCAUUAUGGUGUCCAUCCUACUGAUGCUCUUUUAUAUUUGGUCUCCCAAGCAACGAUGAUGUCACCUCUGGAGAAACGAUUAUAUCUUUUCCCAUGAAUCUGCCUUGUGAGAAUCCUUCUCUUGUCUCAAAGAAAGAAGUAACUCCUCUACCCAGAAGGCUUCAUCUUGAUGAGCUUCAUCACUUCAAGAUAAGAAUACCAGUUGUUGUACAGUAAAGCAACAUUUAGCGUGGUGGUUCCACCAGAUUAUCCUUUUUUAACAGGACAGGAGAGGACAAUUGUUCAUCAGACUGGAAGUAACGAAACAUACAGAAUGUCUUUGAUUGUAACUGCAUCUGCCUAUGUGUGAAAUGUAAUUAGGUUUUUUUGCAUUUGCCCAUUUACAGAAAACAGCCCAAAGUUAAAAUAAUAACACAAGAUACAAGUUUGUUUUAUAAAUUGGUUGCUGUUACCUUCUGUAAUAUACGUGCAGGUUGAUUUCAAUAAAAGCUUUUUGGCUAGCUGGCAA